UUGUCUGUCUUCUACGUUCUGAGUUCAAAUUCCGCCGAGGUCAACUUUGCCUUUCAUCCUUUCGGAGUCGUUGAAAUAAGUACCAGUUGAAUACUGGGGUCGAUGUAAUCGACUGCUCCCUCCCAUGUCGAAAUUCAGCCUUUGUGCCUGUCGUAGG